GCGCCGGUGGUGUAGUGGCUUAGAGCAUUCCUGCCCGGUCUUCAGGAAGUGCGGGUUCGAGUCCCGCCUGACGUU
rfam:Heligmosomoides polygyrus genome assembly, scaffold: HPBE_scaffold0016460